GAUAUUUUGAGGGAGAAGGAGAUCUUUUCAGUAGGGCUUUUGGCUGGUUUUUUAGAGAACAGUUUGAAGAGAAGGGAUUUUUGAGGUUGCUUGAGAGAGGGAGUUGCUAUAGGUGAAAUAUUUUUCUGGGCAAGGUGCCAGGAAGAGCGUAAGAAAUCAGCUGGUUCUUCUUUGUGAGAGGAGCCUGGUAGUUGCUGUAGUUGAAGAAGAGGCUUUCAGGUAUGGUUGUUGUGGCUCUCCCGUGCAUUUUCAUUUUUCAUAUCUCUUAUGUCUCAUUCUCUAUGAUUGCUAUUCUGUUUGUUGGGAUGCUGUGCUUUGAUGUUUGUUAGUUUGAUAUCUAAAGAACUUGUUGUGUUUUUAAUGUUUUACUCCAUCAAACAUCUUCCAUCUUAACCCAUUGAUUGUUAAACUCAUGGAUAAAAUAAUGAAAUGGGUUUAGCAUAUUCGUUAAAAUGCUCCCUUCUCUGUUCCUAUUUCUAUUCCCUUGCUCCUCUGUUUUCCUUCAGUUUCCCUCACGUUUUCGCCCCUAGGGUUUCGCUCAUUCCACCCGGACAUCUCAUAUCCGGAAUUCUUCCCCGCUGCCAUUCCACCCGGACAUAUCACAUCCGGAAUUCUUCAUCGCCCAUUCCACCCGGACAUCUCACAUCCGGAAUUCUUCCCCCCGCCAUUCCACCCGGACAUCUCACAUCCGGAAUUCUUCAUCGCCCAUUCCAC
rnacentral:lncRNA from 1 species